GACGAACGCUGGCGGCGUGCUUAACACAUGCAAGUCGAACGAAGAGCGAUGGAAGCUUGCUUCUAUCAAUCUUAGUGGCGAACGGGUGAGUAACGCGUAAUCAACCUGCCCUUCAGAGGGGGACAACAGUUGGAAACGACUGCUAAUACCGCAUACGAUCUGACCUCGGCAUCGAGGAUAGAUGAAAGGUGGCCUCUACAUGUAAGCUAUCACUGAAGGAGGGGAUUGCGUCUGAUUAGCUAGUUGGAGGGGUAACGGCCCACCAAGGCGAUGAUCAGUAGCCGGUCUGAGAGGAUGAACGGCCACAUUGGGACUGAGACACGGCCCAGACUCCUACGGGAGGCAGCAGUGGGGAAUCUUCCGCAAUGGACGAAAGUCUGAACGAGCAACGCCGCGUGAGUGAUGACGGCCUUCGGGUUGUAAAGCUCUGUUAAUCGGGACGAAAGGCCUUUUUGCGAAUAGGGAGAAGGAUUGACGGUACCGGAAUAGAAAGCCACGGCUAACUACGUG
rnacentral:rRNA from 1 species